AAUGAACGUUGGUGGCGUGGAUUAGGCAUGCAAGUCGUGCGAGAAGGGGCCUUCGGGCCCCGGACAGCGGCGAACGGGGUAGUAAGGCGUCGGUACGUGCCCGGGGGUCCGGGAUAGCGGCGGGAAACUGCCGGUAAUACCGGAUGACCUCUGAGGAGCAAAGGUGUGAUUCCGCCCUCGGAGCGGCCGACGUGAUACCAGCUAGAUGGCGGGGUAACGGCCCACCAUGGCUAAGACGUCUAGGGGGUGUGAGAGCAUGGCCCCCACCACUGGGACUGAGACACUGCCCAGACACCUACGGGUGGCUGCAGUCGAGAAUCUUCGGCAAUGGGCGCAAGCCUGACCGAGCGACGCCACGUGCGGGAUGACGGCCCUCGGGUUGUAAACCGCUGUCGGGGGGGAUGAAGUCACGGGGGGUCCUCCCCCCGUGUUGACAGAGCCCCGGAGGAAGCGCGGGCUAAGUACGUGCCAGCCGCCGCAGUAAGAC
rnacentral:rRNA from 1 species